rnacentral:rRNA from 1 species
AUUGAACGCUGGCGGCAUGCCUUACACAUGCAAGUCGAACGGUAACAGGUCUUCGGAUGCUGACGAGUGGCGAACGGGUGAGUAAUACAUCGGAACGUGCCUAGUAGUGGGGGAUAACUACUCGAAAGAGUGGCUAAUACCGCAUGAGAUCUACGGAUGGAAGAAGGGGAUCGCAAGACCUUGUGCUACUAGAGCGGCCGAUGGCAGAUUAGGUAGUUGGUGGGAUAAAAGCUUACCAAGCCGACGAGCUGUAGCUGGUCUGAGAGGACGAUCAGCCAAACUGGGACUUAGACACGGCCCAGACUCCUACGGGAGGCAGCAGUGGGGAAUUUUGGACAAUGGGCGCAAGCCUGAUCCAGCAAUGCCGCGUGCAGGAUGAAGGCCUUCGGGUUGUAAACUGCUUUUGUACGGAACGAAAAGCCCUGGGUUAAUACCCUGGGGUCAUGACGGUACCGUAAGAAUAAGCACCGGCUAACUACGUGCCAGCCGCCGCAGUAACAC